AGUACAAUUAGCAACAUAACCACCCCUAGUCCUGAAGACCAUAACAGUACAAUUAGCAACAUAACCACCCCUAGUCCUGAAGACCAUAACAGUACAAUUAGCAACAUAACCACCCUAGUCCUGAAGACCAUAACAGUACAAUUAGCAACAUAACCACCCCUAGUCCUGAAGACCAUAACAUUACAAUAAGCAACAUAACCAACCCUGCUCCUGGAGACCAUAACAUUACAAUUAGCAACAUAACCAGCCCUAUUCCUGGAGACCAUAACAAUACAAUUAGCAACACAACUAACCCUAUUACCCCUAAAAAUCCUCCCCAGACCAUUAGCACGACUGUCUUUCAUAAAACCUUUCUAUCAACAACUACCUCGGGCCAAUCUAACCCCCCAGUUGCCCCUACUGAGAGAGCAACAAGCAGGUAUCAGGAUGCCACGGACGAAACAAUCAGUCAUAAGAACCCAGAGAAUUCGGAGGCAACCCAUAAGACCACAGAGCAUGCUACAGCUGUAGUUGCUGGGGGCGGAGAGGGAGUCCCAGGAUGGGGGAUCGCUCUAUUGGUACUGGCUGCCCUGAUCUUGUUAAUCCUCCUUAUUCUCCUAAUACUGCUGCUAGUGUGGUUGUGCUGUAGGCAAAGAUAUGGAAGCUUCAGCCCAUAUAACCAAAUCAACCACGGGGCAGACAUCCAAAUGUACUCCACACACAGCCGCUUCAACGUGCCCAACGGCAAGCCUAAUGACGAAAUGGGAGAACCAUCGAAAAACCAAACAGGGAUGUAUGUGGUGAACGAGUACUGACACAAAGAAGCUUCAGUCAAUUGGGUAAGAAGACCAUCUGAAAUGGCCUUAUGAAGUCAUAUGCAUGGGAGCAAUGACAAUUCUGUACAAAUGGUUCAAUUAUCUCUGAAGUAUCUGAAUGAAGAUCAUGGCGUUGGCUCACUGAUUGUAAUUUCAACCUGUAUUUAUUCAAAUCACAUUUAUAAAGCCCUUUUUACAUCAGCCGAUGUCACAAAGUGCUAUACAGAAACCCAGCCUAAAACCCCAAGCAGCAAGCAAUGCAGAUGUCCUAAUGUUAUUCUAUUCCUAAUGCUUUUACCAGUGGAGGCUGCUGAGAGGAGGACAGCUCAUAAUAAUAGCUGGAAUGGAGUCAAUGGAGUGGUAUCAACCACAUCAAACACCUGGUUUCCAUGUAGUUGUUACCAUUCCAUUCUAUUAUUCUGUAGGUAAAUCUGAGACACUCCAUUUAGUAUAUGUUACUCCUCCCUGACCAACCUCCCUACUUUAGUUUCUGUCUAAAGUAACUAGGCCAUUAAAAUGUACCAUGUGUCUUGACGUGUUCAGAAAUACGUAAAGUACGUUUUGAAUGGCUCUGAGGCCAGGAUGGCCAUUUUGGCUUCAUUGUGGCAAUAAUUUGAGUUGUAUUUUCAGUCUUUACUGAAGGCAAGCUUAACCUUGGUAAAAAAAGAAAGAAAGCUGAUCCUAGAUCAGUAAAUGGGAUCAACAUAUGUAUCCUGCAAUUAACAUGUAAGAAGAAUGAGUAGGGGUGCAAUACCCAAUCAGGUACAGUUAACAAGAAGUUCAUUGUUUUAAAAGACUAUAAAUCAAACCUUUUGACUUGGGCUGAGAGAUCCAGAUCUAAUUCCCUACUGCUGGAUAAGACAUGUUUUGAGAUAGGAUGCUAGCAAGCCAAACAGUUAACUAUUCCACAAACACAACCCAGUGAGUUAAACACCAAUGUUAUGUAUAUUUGACAAUCUGAUUAAAUAAAUCCACCAUUAUUAAUCAAA